UACGUAGGGUGCGAGCGUUUAAUCGGAAUUACUGGGCGUAAAGCGUGCGCAGGCGGUUUGGUAAGACAGAUGUGAAAUCCCCGGGCUCAACCUGGGAAUUGCAUUUGUGACUGCCCGACUAGAGUGUGUCAGAGGGGGGUAGAAUUCCACGUGUAGCAGUGAAAUGCGUAGAGAUGUGGAGGAAUACCGAUGGCGAAGGCAGCCCCCCUGGGAUAACACUGACGCUCAUGCACGAAAGCGUGGGGAGCAAACAGG
rnacentral:rRNA from 1 species